ensembl:snRNA U1 U1 spliceosomal RNA
AUACUUACGUGGCAGAGGAGAUAUAUGAUCAGGAAGGCGGUUCACCCAGGCUGAGGCUCAGCUAUUGCCCUCUGGCUGUGCUGACCACUGCAAAUUCUCCAAAUGUGGGAAUUUGUUUUUAGUGGAGGACGGUGUAUGCUCCGAUUCUUU